GGGGUGACGCGCCGCACCAGUACCGUCACGUCCUCGCUCUCGCUGCGGUGCGAUGACGCCAAAAACAACGCGAGCAAGCCCUCCGAGCACGGUCGGACUGAUGAAAUUUCUUGCUGGGAAAACUCAGACUGGCUGACGAGCGGACUGCUCAAUCAUGACUUCUUCCGUGGAGAGGGGAGCAGAGAGGGGAGCAGACCACACAGGCCUCAACAGCAGGGAUUAAUAAUUAGGAUGCUCGUGGCUGCUGUCCCCUGCGUUUUUCUAAACACGCUCACAGGGACUUCCCGAAAAACAUAUAUCUGUACAACUUGUCUAUUUGCUUGGUUUGGAAGACGUAUUCUAAAGAAAUAUGUUUAAUUUUGUACAUGCUCACCUUUCACAUGUCAUAACCAGAUACCCACGAUGAAAAUAAAGAAAAAACGGUCAAACGGUAA